UUCGGACUGCAGGCUGCAACUCGCCUGCACGAAGCCGGAGUUGCUAGUAAUCGCGGAUCAGAAUGCCGCGGUGAAUGCCGUUCCCGGGUCUUGUACACACCGCCCGUCACACCAUGGAAGUUGGGGGUGCCCCAAAGCCGGCAGGGAAAUAUGCUGUCUAAGGCAAAACCAAUGACUGGGGUGAAGUCGUAACAAGGUAUC
rnacentral:rRNA from 1 species